GGCCAGACUCCUACGGGAGGCAGCAGUGGGGAAUAUUGCACAAUGGGGGAAACCCUGAUGCAGCGACGCCGCGUGAGCGAAGAAGUAUUUCGGUAUGUAAAGCUCUAUCAGCAGGGAAGAAAAUGACGGUACCUGACUAAGAAGCCCCGGCUAAAUACGUGCCAGCAGCCGCGGUAAUACGUAUGGGGCAAGCGUUAUCCGGAUUUACUGGGUGUAAAGGGAGCGCAGGCGGCUUGGCAAGUCUGAUGUGAAAGGCUGGGGCUCAACCCCAGGACUGCAUUGGAAACUGUUAGGCUGGAGUGUCGGAGAGGUAAGCGGAAUUCCUAGUGUAGCGGUGAAAUGCGUAGAUAUAAGGAAGAACACCAGUGGCGAAGGCGGAUUACUGGACGAUAACUGACGGUGAGGCGCGAAAGCGUGGGGAGCAAACAGGAUUAGAUACCCGUGUAAU
rnacentral:rRNA from 1 species